UGUCGCUUCCGAUCAUAAGGGUUUGGAGAGUCACUCCACACCUCUGGAUGCGUCCUCUUUAAACUUGCUUUAUUUUCUGCAAUACUGGCUUCUAGAACUCUGCUAAUGGCUUGCUCCUCAUCUGUUAUUCCAGUCUCCCUGAAUGCCCUGUUUGAUUCCUCCAAACUCAAGGCAAUUGCCCUCUGAAGAUCAUCUUUAUCAUCUCCAG
rnacentral:lncRNA from 1 species